rnacentral:rRNA from 1 species
UACGGAGGGUGCGAGCGUUAAUCGGAAUUACUGGGCGUAAAGCGUGCGCAGGCGGUUUUGUAAGUCUGUCGUGAAAGCCCCGGGCUCAACCUGGGAAUUGCGAUGGAGACUGCAAGGCUUGAAUCUGGCAGAGGGGGGUAGAAUUCCACGUGUAGCAGUGAAAUGCGUAGAGAUGUGGAGGAACACCGAUGGCGAAGGCAGCCCCCUGGGUCAAGAUUGACGCUCAUGCACGAAAGCGUGGGGAGCAAACAGG